UUGGAGUUUUGUUUUUGUCUAUAUCCAAGACGUUCCACUUCCGGGAUUGUUCCGUUGCCACCAGAAAUUCCGCAGGAUUUCACUCUUUUCGGCCGGUUGUCCAUUACCUUCCGCUUUCUUUGUAUUGGAAUUCUAAACUGGAUUUAUGAGGACUAUGGUUAACUGCUCCUCAGAUCUCUGCAGGGUAAAUCCAGACAGCUAGCUAGACUAUCUGUCCAAUCUGAGUUUUCUGUUGCAUGACUAAAACAACCUUUGAAC